UGGGGAAUCUUAGGCAAUGGGCGCAAGCCUGAUCUAGCCAUGCCGCGUGAGUGAUGAAGGCCCUAGGGUCGUAAAGCUCUUUCAACUGUGAAGAUAAUGACGGUAGCAGUAGAAGAAACCCCGGCUAACUCC
rnacentral:rRNA from 1 species